UCCGGUUGAUCCUGCCAGACCCGACUGCUAUCAGAAUGAGAUUAAGCCAUGCGAGUCAACGUAGCAAUACGUGGCACACGGCUCAGUAACACGUAGUCAACAUAACCAAAGGACGUGGAUAAACUCGGGAAACUGAGGCUAAACCGCGAUAGACCAAGAUACCUGGAAUGGUUUUUGAUCAAAAUCUAUAUGGCCUUUGGAUUGGACUGCGACCGAUCAGGCUGUUGGUGAGGUAAUGGCCCACCAAACCUGUAACCGGUACGGGGUCUGAGAGGAGGAGCCCGGAGAUGGGUACUGAGAAAAGGACCCAGGCCCUAUGGGGCGCAGCAGGCGCGAAACCUCUGCAAUAGGCGAAAGCCUGACAGGGUUAUUCUGAGUGACUUUCGCUAAGAAAGUCUUUUGACAUCUCUAAAAAUGGUGUAGAAUAAGGGGUGGGCAAGUCUGGUGUCAGCCGCCGCGGUAAUACCAGCACCCCGAGUGGUCGGGACGAUUAUUGGGCCUAAAGCAUCCGUAGCCGGUUUUACAAGUCCUCCGUUAAAUCCAACUGCU
rnacentral:rRNA from 1 species